UACGAAGGGGGCUAGCGUUGCUCGGAAUCACUGGGCGUAAAGCGCACGUAGGCGGAUCGUUAAGUCAGGGGUGGAAUCCUGGAGCUCAACUCCAGAACUGCCUUUGAUACUGGCGAUCUUGAGUUCGAGAGAGGUGAGUGGAACUGCGAGUGUAGAGGUGAAAUUCGUAGAUAUUCGCAAGAACACCAGUGGCGAAGGCGGCUCACUGGCUCGAUACUGACGCUGAGGUGCGAAAGCGUGGGGAGCAAACAGG
rnacentral:rRNA from 1 species